rnacentral:lncRNA from 1 species
GCUUCUCGCUGAAGCCACACAGAGAGGAGUUUACGCCAAAGUCAUGCUCGGCAUCAGUGGACAGGUGAGAUCCAGCUUUAUCAGCAGCACUCCACGAAUGGCAAGGAAACGUUUAGCGAUGAGCCACUCCUCCAACCCAUCACUCAGCAGCGGAGAGAGUCAUGAUAUCACCCAGAGAUCACCUCCCGAGGGAAGUGUCAGCUGUGCGGAGCUGGGCAAAAGCAAAAUAUUGACGCAGGAAAACACUCUGCUUCAGGGACAAAACAUCAAGACGCUCCAUUAUAGGAAUAAAAGGAU